AUGUGCUGUAUUCAGACUGACAAGUAGGAAACGGAGGAGACUGCCUUAAUCCUCAAGAAAUUUUGUAUGACACGAUAAAAAAAAAAAGGUCUGAGGUCUCAGUUUACCUCACGAUGCCCAGGAGCAUGGUCUCCUCCUUGAUUUGUGGCUGCGGAGCACCAGACCUAAGCAUGUUUUGUCUCAAACAUUCUGAGUAUUGCUACAGGAAAGGUGAUUGGAGGAGAGGGUCCCAUGGAGAUGGCGCAGUGUGUUCUGAGCCAGCUCCCUGCUCCAUCAUGGGACUUGUGCUCAGUGCCCUCAUGCCGACUUACUGCCUGGAGGAGGCUCAAAGGGGCUGUGCGUGUGCGAACAAAACAGCUCGAAAAAUCUAGUUUUAUAUAAGAGGUGUGCACCAGGUUAUAACAGGGAGCAGAUCAGGCCCCCUCAGUCCUUUUCUUUCUCUCUCUCCCCUGCCACCACCCUAUUUCCUUCACUUUCUUUGUCUCACAACCCCAGCUCCGGAUCAUCCUCGUGGCAGGACCAACACAGUAUCUGAGGACUGGUAAUAUUCUUUGUUUUCUACCCUUGCUUUGCCUGAGCAAAGCAUGGCUAUCAUACUCUGCUCUGUACUGUGUCCUGAACUCUGUUGUGGAAGUGUGUUGUGGCUUGCUAACCAGCAACCUUGCGUAGUGGUAUUGUGGUCUGUGUGCCAGCACCUUUGAUUUUGUGUUAUGGCUUGUGAGCCAGCACCUUUGAGGAGUUUGCUGUGGGAGUUGAGAACUUAUUGAAGUGUACCGUACAAAUUUAAGGGCUUGUUAGCCAACACCUCUUGAGUCUAAGCAGUGGGCUGGUUGGUGGAGUUUAUGGUGGCUGUACAAUAAAAGCAUAAGAGUUCCCUGACAUGCAGGUAUCUUUGUUCAACCUGAUGAGAAUUUAUAACAACCAUCAUGGCCCCUACUGAUGAGUUGUGACAGUGACCAGUGCAUGUGCAGUGCCUGAGAGCAGCAUGGCAAAGGGCAGGGCCUCUUUCCCUGUAGAAAGAGCAGGUGAGGGUCAGAGGCACCAGUCAGGUGAGCAAGGCCUUCAGCAGUUAUUCCUGCCCACAGUGGCUGCUUGGAAGUGGAGGUGCAGGCUCGAGGGGGGUUCUUGGCCCAGCCCGCUCACUGCAGGAAGCUGAGAGCACAGGUCUGACUUUCCCAUCCCUUGUCCUGAUUUUAGGGCCCUGGUUCCUCCCAGCCCCAGCCAGUCUGUGCAGUUGGCCCUGAGGACAUGAACAGCCGGGAGGUGUGUGGUGGAAGGCAGGCCCUGGAGCAGGAUGUCAGUGUGGGACUCUGGUGACUGAGUGGUCCCUACCUGUGAGUGCUGGAUGAUGCCUUUUACUAUGUCAGUCAGCAAGCAACUAAUCACAAAUUACUGUCACAGUGGCAGAGGAGCUGAGAGACACUGGUGCUGAAGCAUAGUUUGGCGGUUGAAGCAGCAUCACAGGUCUGUAGGAUCAGCAGACAGACGCGAAGAACGAGCUCCGACUCACAACGUACCCACAGCAAAGUCCUGGCACUGCACUGUAGUUGAGGGAGGCUGUCUGGGUAGAAGGUGGUUGUGCCCUAGUUAGUAAUCAGACAGACUUGGUGGCAUUGUGGGUACUACUGGGUGAAGGGAGCUGGAAAUUGUGCCUGGAAGACUUAAAGUUUGGGCAUUAGGUAUGCGAUGUGCAGGCCUUGCAAUGGGAAUUUGCUUGAUGUGCCAAGUGGUUAAGUGUCUUGGACUACAGAUGCUCAGCAUGUGACUAAUAGCCUAAAAAACCCAAUCUGUUUUACAUAAUAAAAAGUAUUCUCUCA